rnacentral:rRNA from 1 species
CAGUCGCCGCGGUAAUACGUAGGGUGCGAGCGUUAAUCGGAAUUACUGGGCGUAAAGCGUGCGCAGGCGGUUAUGUAAGACAGUUGUGAAAUCCCCGGGCUCAACCUGGGAACUGCAUCUGUUACUGCAUAGCUAGAGUACGGUAGAGGGGGAUGGAAUUCCGCGUGUAGCAGUGAAAUGCGUAGAUAUGCGGAGGAACACCGAUGGCGAAGGCAGCCCCCUGGGCCAACACUGACGCUCAUGCACGAAAGCGUGGGGAGCAAACAGGAUUAGAUACCCGGGUAGUCCCUGUCUCUUAUAC